rnacentral:rRNA from 1 species
AUACAUAGGGGGCGAGCGUUAUCCGGAAUUAUUGGGCGUAAAGGGUGCGUAGGCGGUUUAUUAAGUCUGACGUGAAAUACCACAGCUUAACUGUGGAGGGUCGUUGGAAACUGGUAAACUUGAGUACAGUAGAGGUAAGUGGAAUUCCAAGUGGAGCGGUGGAAUGCGUAGAUAUUUGGAGGAACACCAGUGGCGAAGGCGGCUUACUGGGCUGGAACUGACGCUGAGGCACGAAAGCGUGGGGAGCAAACAGGAUUAGAUACCCUGGUAGUCCACGCCGUAAACGUUGAGCACUAAGUGUCGGGAAUAAUCUCGGCGCUGCAGUUAACACAAUAAGUGCUCCGCCUGGGGAGUACGGUCGCAAGACUGAA